rnacentral:lncRNA from 1 species
GGUUAUUAAACAAUUUUGUGAAACAACCAGUGGAAAAAAAUUAACAGUCUACAUCUUUCAAUACACAAAUGAAUAUGUGGUUGUACAGAUGGGUUUGUGACAGGACUAUUUCCAGUCCAGUGCUCCAUGAAGGCUUCUGUUCACAUUCAUGUCAACUUAACUUCAGCCAUAGCACAGUGGCCAGAACUUCGGCUGAUGUUCCUGCUUCACACUGAGUUGGGAUUCAGGCCCCAGAUCUAUGGAUGAAGUACACUCACCAUGUUUUCUACCAAUGAGUUGCACCGCAGCUAGUACUGCUACCUUUUCCUUCUCCUGACUCUGCUACCAAGCAGCCCACACAUCCACUCCAUGCCCAAGACUUGCAGGGAUGCUGAUCUUCUGGAAGAAUGCUGUUCUUCUUAGUUUUUCUUCGAAGGGAAAUAUGUUCUUCUAAGUUUAAGUCUCUGAAAAUGUUCUUGAAUAAUCUGCCGAAGAGCAUUGCUGAAGAUUCACAUAAAAGGGUAUGCAGUUUUUGUGAAUAAU